AGCUCCAAUAGCGUAUAUUAAAGUUGUUGCAGUUAAAAAGCUCGUAGUUGGAUUUCUGCAGGGAGAUCAAUGUCCGCUGUUGCGUGUGCAGCGAUCUCCCUGCAUCCUUCUGUUAACGUUUCUUGGUAUUAACUUACUGGUUUCGGGCUCAGAUAUUUUACCUUGAGAAAAUUAGAGUGUUUCAGGCAGGCUUGCGCCGGAAUACAUUAGCAUGGAAUAAUAGAAUAGGACUUAGGUCUCCUUUGUUGGUUUGAGGGACUUAAGUAAUGAUUAAUAGGGAUAGUUGGGGGCAUUAGUAUUUAAUUGUCAGAGGUGAAAUUCUCGGAUUUGUUAAAGACUAACUUAUGCGAAAGCAUUUGCCAAGGAUGUUUUCA
rnacentral:rRNA from 1 species